rnacentral:tRNA from 1 species
GGUGGGGUGCGUGAGUGGUUUAAACGGCAGUCCUGGAAAGACUGUGUACCAGAAAUGGUACCGUGGGUUCAAAUCCAACCCCCACCG